UACGUAGGGUGCAAGCGUUAAUCGGAAUUACUGGGCGUAAAGCGUGCGCAGGCGGUUUUAUAAGCCAGAUGUGAAAGCCCCGGGCUCAACCUGGGAAUGGCCGUUGAAACUGGCGAACUGGAGUGUGGCAGAGGGGGGUGGAAUUCCGCGUGUAGCAGUGAAAUGCGUAGAGAUGCGGAGGAACACCGAUGGCGAAGGCAGCCCCCUGGGCUGACACUGACGCUCAGGCACGAAAGCGUGGGGAGCAAACAGG
rnacentral:rRNA from 1 species